UACAGGGGGGGCAAGCGUUGUUCGGAAUUACUGGGCGUAAAGGGUUCGUAGGUGGCCACUUAAGUCAGACGUGAAAUCCCUCAGCUUAACUGGGGAACUGCGUCUGAUACUGCGUGGCUUGAGUGCAGGAGAGGAAUGCGGAAUUCCAGGUGUAGCGGUGAAAUUCGUAGAUAUUGGCUGGAACACCGGUGGCGAAAGCGGCUCUCUGGCCCGGUUCUGACGCUGAGGCGCGAAAGCGUGGGGAGCAAACAGG
rnacentral:rRNA from 1 species